CUCUGAUACCACUCAUAGUAAGGAGGAUAAAAAAUUCCUUCAACAUCAGAUUUUCCUUGGGCAGGAAAUGGGCCAUCAAGGAAAUGAAGGUCGAGCUUUUGAAGCACAGUUUCAGGCCAUCUAGCUAUCAAUUUUUGCAGGAUUGAAGCACUGGUCCUGAAGCCAUGGAGGCACAGAAUUCUGGGUUUGUAUUGGAUUUCGUUUUGCAUCACUA
rnacentral:misc_RNA from 1 species